AUCUCGGUUUCCCCGCCCCGAGCGCUCCGACCGCUCCUCGGCGACGGCGAUUAGCUUUGCGUGCGCCUGCGCGAUCUCAGUCUGCGCCUGCGCAGGUGGGGAGCUCCUGUAACUACUGGUGACCGCGCUGCAUUCUUUCGACUUCAUUUAGCGCCGCGGAGUUUCGUCCUCGUCGGGACUGGGUUGCCCCGAGGCCGACGCCGCUAGGACCGCGUGGGCAGGAGAUCUCGGUUGUCCCCAUUUUUUUUUGGUUUUGGGGGUUUUUUUGUUUUGUUUUGGUACCAGGGAUCGAACUCCGGACCUUGCAGUUGCGAGGCAGACGUGCCACUGAGCUAAAUCCCCGGCCUCAUUGUUCCCAAUUUUCAAAUAAAAUCUCAAUUUUUCGUGUG